rnacentral:rRNA from 1 species
UACGUAGGGGGCAAGCGUUGUCCGGAUUUAUUGGGCGUAAAGAGCGUGUAGGCGGCCAGGUAGGUCCGUUGUGAAAACUCGAGGCUCAACCUCGAGACGUCGGCGGAAACCAUCUAGCUAGAGUCCGGAAGAGGAGAGUGGAAUUCCUGGUGUAGCGGUGAAAUGCGCAGAUAUCAGGAAGAACACCCGUGGCGAAGGCGGCUCUCUGGUACGUGACUGACGCUGAGACGCGAAAGCGUGGGGAGCGAACAGG